GCCCUCUCCUGAGCAACACGGCACAACAAUGGCUGCUCCCUCGUGUUCUACCAGCGCCAGGAGACCUAGGCUGUGGGUCAUGAAAUUUCAUUUGCUUUGGGAAAGUGGAGGCUGAAUUGAUGUUAGAAGAGAUGGCCUUUGAAACUGAGAAAUGGAGGAGCUGAAAACGGUGCAGUCUGUUUUUGAAUCCUGGAAAAAAGGCUUUCAUUUCUUGGAAAUGUUUUAAGAUUGUGAUCUUCCAACUUCCACCUUAAAAGAGGUGCAGUCUCUGCCCGAGCUGAUAAAGAACAGAAACAUGUGGUUUGAGGAUUCUUUUUACUCCUGUAGUUGGAAGACUUUAGAACAUCACUGAUAGUAGAAACAUAUUUUAUACUAGAGACAAGUAGAAAAUUUGUUUCUACCCCGAAGCAGGCGUUAUCUACUAUUGAAGCUGUGUGUGGCCAACAGUCAUUAGAUUUGUAUAUACUCUGCAAGAUAUAUGUGUAUAUAUACUUAAAAAAAAAAUAAAAUGACUUGAAAACAUCUUU